CUGAGUCUCCUGCAGUGUUCUGGUGUGUGUGUACUGAAGACUUCACAGGCAGAUUUCUGGGGUAGGGGCCACCACCACAGAGAAGUGAAGAAGAAGAAGAACAUUUGAUUUGAACUCAAAGAGAAGCUUCAGUGCUGUAAAAGGUGAAACAAAAAGUCAAAAACUAUGGAAGGUGAUGACUCACAACUAGAAAUUACGGAAAUUAAGGCAUCAGAGUUGGAGGCAUUACAGAAAGAGCAUGAAGAGAAAGUUCAGAAAAUACAAGAGCUUAAGAAGCAGAUUGAAUCCACAAGACAGUGUUUGGAGAAGAUAAAGAAAGAGGUUCCAGAUGAGAAAAUGGAAACUUUCAAUACCUUAAGCGACAAAUAUAACAGUCUCAGAGAAGAAUACAAUGCAAUGCUAGCUGAGAAG